rnacentral:rRNA from 1 species
UUAGGUGACUAUAGCAUUGGGGUUCCACCUCUUCCCAUUCCGAACAGAGAAGUUAAGUCCAAUAACGCCGAUGGUACUGCGCAAGCGGGAGAGUAGGUAGUCGCCCUUU